ensembl:lncRNA
GUCGUGUGUGUGUGUGUGUGUGUGUCUCCAUGUGUGUUAAAGAGCGAGAGAGAGAAAAGAAAAGAGACUCCCAUCGUUGCUUAAAAUGGUGUUUUGAGCACCCUUUGGUUGUCAAAUGCUGGUGCCUUUUGUUGCAGCCUGGAUCAAGAAGCCACCAUGGUUUUCCUUCAAGGUAAAUUUUGUCCUUUGUCCUUGCUACGUCUGCGUCUACGCUCGUGUCCAGGGGGCGAUAUCGCGCGUUGGACAGACGUAGCUUAGAGGGCAACAGAGGGACAGAACCAAACGGCGCAGACAAAGGACUUCAAGAAACAGGGUGGAAAGAUGAAUGAGGCUGAAACUAAAAUGAAGAAUGCACAGGAGAAAGCUGCCAAAACAUUUAAGAAGGCAUCAGAGAGACGAGUCGAGGAAAGCCGAGUGUGUCAAAUUGCUUCCACAAGCGCAGAUGACUUUUUUUUUUUUUUUUUUUACAUUUAGCCAUUGAACAUAUGUUGUCGAUCCACAGGAGCCCAGGAAGUGAAACUGAAGCCAGCACUUGGAGCACAGGAUGCAUCCAUAUAGUGAAUUUGCACUCUGCACCGUCUGCAUUGACAAACCCAGUGGCGGUUAAAGGUAGAAGGUGUAAAAAAAAAAGGGGGGGCAGCAAAGAAGGUAAAGAUUGAGAUUGAGAUUGAGAAGACUCUGUGGAGGCGAGAGGAGAAGAAAGACAUGAUGCUUCAUUAGAGAAAGAGACGUUGUGCGAAAGAGAAAUGGGAGAUCACAACAUUUGGGAUGGCUGGUUACAAAACGAAACGCACAAAAAAAGCAUCACAAUACUUUUUUAAGGAUAAUGCAUAAACAGUUGACCUCUUUCUGUCUUUACAUUUUUUUUAAAUGGACAACCUGUCACUGGUUCUAAAAGAUGUCAUGCACGCCUGCUUGUUAUUUAGUUUUACCGGCGUGAGCAGAGGGGUAAUUGCAUUCUAGUGAGUGGCUGUAACACCUUGAUGUCUGUGGCUUUGAUGCUCGCGUGGAGAGAAGGGAGACGAGCUGAGGGCAGACACUAAUAGGCAGAGAGCGGGCAAAGAGGAAAAGCUGAUGCCCGGAUGCUUCAAGGAGAUGAGUUUAUUAAAUGAAGGAGGAAGAUCAAUGGCGGAGAUCUUAACAUGAUUCCAGAGGGUUUCUUUUUUUUCUGUGUUUUCUGUUAAUGGUCACAUUGUUAUUAAUGCGUUGCAGUAUACAGGUGAGGAUGAACUUCUGUUUACAGGUGAGGAUGAACACUUGUGUACAGGUGAGGAUGAACUUCUGUUUACAGGUGAGGAUGAACACUUGUGUACAGGUGAGGAUGAACACCUGUGUACAGGUGAGGAUGAACACAUGUAUCGUAGAGACGAUUUGUGUUUAUUUGUAUUUAUAUCUAAAUGUGAAAGAAUCCCAGGUCAGGUUUUAGGAAACGGUUUCUUGGCCAAGUCAC